GCGGCAAUAGCUCAGUUGGUAGAGCAUCAGCUUCCCAAGCUGAGGGUCGCGAGUUCGA
rnacentral:tRNA from 1 species